rnacentral:rRNA from 1 species
AGUGAACGCUGGCGGUAGGCCUAACACAUGCAAGUCGAACGGCAGCACAGUAAGAGCUUGCUCUUACGGGUGGCGAGUGGCGGACGGGUGAGGAAUACAUCGGAAUCUACUUUUUCGUGGGGGAUAACGUAGGGAAACUUACGCUAAUACCGCAUACGACCUACGGGUGAAAGCAGGGGAUCUUCGGACCUUGCGCGAUUGAAUGAGCCGAUGUCGGAUUAGCUAGUUGGCGGGGUAAAGGCCCACCAAGGCGACGAUCCGUAGCUGGCCUGAGAGGAUGACCGCCCACCCUGGAGCGGAGACACGGCCCCGACCCUUACGGGAGGCAGCAGUGGGGAAUUUUGCACAAUGGGCGAAAGCCUGACCGCCCCAUGCCGCGUGAGUGAAGAGGGCCUUCGGUUGGUAAAGCUUUUUUGUGGGGAAAGAAAAGAAGCGGUUUAACCCCCCCCUGUCCUGACGGUCCCCAAGAAAAAAGCCCCGGCUAACUUCGUC